CAGUCGCCGCGGUAAUACGUAGGGUGCAAGCGUUAAUUGGAAUUACUGGGCGUAAAGCGUGCGCAGGCGGUUUGUUAAGACAGAUGUGAAAUCCCCGGGCUCAACCUGGGAACUGCAUUUGUGACUGGCAAGCUAGAGUCUGGCAGAGGGGGGUGGAAUUCCGCGUGUAGCAGUGAAAUGCGUAGAUAUGCGGAGGAACACCGAUGGCGAAGGCAGCCCCCUGGGCCAACACUGACGCUCAUGCACGAAAGCGUGGGGAGCAAACAGGAUUAGAUACCCCCGUAGUCCCUGUCUCUUAUAC
rnacentral:rRNA from 1 species